rnacentral:lncRNA from 1 species
AAGCUCCUGUUGGAAGAUGACAAAACAAAGCAGCUACUGCUGUUGUGCUCACAGAAGACUCCAUUCCUGGCCAGUGCUGCAACUUCACUCUAACGCUGUUAUGUGAGAGCUGCUCAUGCUCAAAGCAAAGACAAGAGAGCUCUUCCAAAAGAAGAGCUGGCCACAGACUCCCCAUCCUCAGGCUGAAGAAGGCCCAGUGGCAGCACGAAGUGACUCCCAGGUGCAGACGAGCCCAGCGACUCCCCGUGGCUGAGCUACAAAUUCAUCUCUGCAGCCCACCCGAGCGGCCUGCCUGCUGAUCGCUCAUAAAUAAGUCAGCCGUGGAGCAGGGUUAAUAUUUACCUACGUGUCUCGGACAGCUGCAUCCUGAAGAUGGAAAGCGUUGCAGAAGCUCUGGAGUAAGUUAUCAUUAGGCCUCUAUUCUGGCAUAUUUACUCACCCCUAAUAGGUUACAGAGGUGCAGAAAUACAAUUAAACUACAAGUUUUCUAUAGCUGCUUGCCUCCUGGUAAUGCCUCAUCUUCUCGUGUAUUGAUUUAAUGCUUCUGCUGGUGCUGUAACACGUUAGCUGUGUUUUACAACCAUCAGUGUGCUGACCUGACUCCUGCGUACCGACCCUACCUGCUUCUUUCCUCCUUGGAUGGUUUUUAUUUAUUGUAUCCGAUAAAAUAUACAGAAGCCUUCCCGAGUUUCGGAGGCAGGGUGGUUUAUCCACGGCUCAAUGUUCAGCGUGCUUCUGUAAGGAAAGUGUGCUAUGGGGUUGGACUUCUUGGGCAGUAAAAGUACCCUUCAUUACAUCUCAUCAAGAGAUCAUUAAAACCAACCUUUAGCCCCUCAGAGCUCUGUGGCUUUGAGCAGGGUUGCGCUCAGGGCAGCGCUUUCCAUUUGCUGUGGCCAGAGAGAUAUUUCCUUUCCUCAUGAUG